CCCCGGCAUGGACGCGCCCGGCCAGCCGCCCGCCGGUCCCCGAGCCGGCCCCGAGGGCGCGGCGGCGGGACGGGGCCCGAGCCCGGAGGCAGCCAUCGAGGAGGAGGAGGCAGCGUACGUGGAGAUCCGCGGCUCGCCGCGGGGGUCGGAGGAAAGCCGCCAGCCCCCCGAGCUGGCCCCGGCCGGCGGCGCGGAGCGAGCGGCCGGUUCCGCACCGGAAAGCGGAGCCGGCGGGACCGGGGAUGUUGGCGGCUCGGCGAGCGGCGGGCCGCCGGGCGGGGCUGCGGGGCCAGCAUCCUCGGACCGCGGGCGGGAUCGCCCGCCUUUCCCGGGCGCGGUGGCUGCGGCGGGAUGCGGCGCUGACUCCAGCCCCGGCUCCGGGGGAGCGGCAGGGAGAGGCGGGCCGCCGGAGGCGGGGGGCUGCCCGGAGUCUUCCUCCUCCUCCUGCCCUUCGCCGGUGACCAAGGCGGGUGGCUUCACCGCAAUGGGCGACCCGGUGUCGACGGAAGGCAAAACCUCCUCGUCCUCCUUCGGCUACGAAAGCGAGGAGGACGAGAACGCGGGGCGCAAGGCGGCCCCUGCCGGCGCCCCCCCGGGCAUCCCCCCCGCCGGCGGCCGCGACGAGGCGCACUAUAUCAGCACGCAGGAGAUCCAGCUGAGCGAGGUGGACCACGACAUGGACUUCGACGCGGGGCUGGCCGCCCGCUGGGACUUCGAGGACAACAACGUGAUCUACUCCUUCGUGGACUACGCCUCCUUCGGGAGCGACGAGACCCCGGGGGACACGCCGACGGAGGAGGAGGAGGAGAAUAGUUGCUACCUCAGCACAACCACCAGCGACCCCAACAACCAGACGGACAGCAUCGACAACACCAGCAGCACCGAGAUCGUCAGCCUUACUUCCGAACACGACACCCCCGGCCGGGACAAACGCGCCAGCUCGGGGGAAAGCCCGUCCAAGCAGUCCGGCCGCCCCGGCGGGAGCCCGGCCGCCCAGCUUCUCCUAUCAAUCAAAGCCGCUUCCCGGGCUAUAAAUGAGUCUAGCAACGUGCGCGGAAAGCAAAACACUAUUUACGCUGCCAAGCAUGAAAGCGACAUGAGCCUCCGUGUCCCCGCGGCUCCUGAACACAAUGCGAGUUUAAAACCGGACGCGGUCCGCGACAACGCGAAAAAAUUCAUCGCGGUCCCCGCGCGGCUGCAGACCCGGUGCGGGGCCGCCAGGGCGGGGGAGCACUCGAGCGGCGCCUCCAGCGCCGUCAGCGAGCUGGACGAUGCCGACAAAGAAGUGCGAAACCUGACGGCCAGGGCUUUCCGCAGCCUGGCGUACCCCUACUUCGACACCCUGCGCCCCGGCUCCCGCGCCUCCUCCGCCUCCCUGCCCGACAAUGCCCUCGGCAUCAACCGCUGGUCCACCUACCUGGACCUCAAGUGCGGCAGCCUGGGGCAGAGAGCUGAGCCCAGCCUGCUGCGCUCCGGCCGGUCGCAGACCAAAGCCCUCGAGUUCGUGGUCAGCAAGCUCGAUGGGGAGAUUGCCCACGUCGAGGCGCCGCGGCGGCUGCGGGCGGCCUCCCGAGUGGUGACCCUGCUGGACCUCGGCGAUGCCCCCGAAGCCGGGCAGCCCCCCGAGGCGGGCGGCGGGGAGCCGCCGGCGGCGGAGGGCGGCGGGGUGGCAUCCAGCAAGAAGUCCAAGUUCGCCUCCAGCCUCCUCAAAAACGUCAUCUCCAAGAAGAUGCAGCUGGAGCACGAGUUCAAGAUGGAGCGGGGCGAGAUCACCGACACCUCUUACACCGGGUUGAGCGCCGGACGGGAGCCGGAGCCCGCCGCUGCCGGCAGCCGGGAGCGGCAGCGGGAGGGCGGUGUGCAGCGGCAGAGCUCCCGGCACUCGGAGGGCGGCUCGGACAGCACCGCGGCGACGGCAGAGGAGGCAGGCGAGGGAGGCGGUGGCCGGUCGCCGGCCUCCAAGGCUUCGACGCCCCGCGAGGGGAGCCGCAGCCUGGACCGAGCGCUGUCGGAGGAGCUAUGCGAGGUGAAGCGCAGCGCCUCGGAGGCCAUCAAGGCCACCUUCCUCCGCAGCCAGAACAGCGCCUUCAGGUCCUGGAAGGAGCGGGAGGCGGAGAGGAAGGAGGAGAGAGCACCCAUCGGCAAGCUGAAGCUCUCCUCCAGGCACGACUGGCGGGCCGACCUGGGCGAGAUCUCCGCCGGCAAGUCCACCAAGAUGUCCCGCUUGUUCGUCCCCGCCAUCCAGCACACCCCCCGGGAGAAGGAGCCCGGCAAGCAGGCGACCAAAUGCUCCGCCGCCGCCGCUUCCUCGCCCCUCGCCGCCAAGCCCAAAGCCCCCGAAAUCAAGAUCAGCCUGGGCAGCCUGCAGCAGCCCCGGGACGCCGCCUUCAGCAUCGCCCAGCUGCUGACGCCGCAGAUCGCGGGCCGGCCGCCAGAGGAAGGCAGGGGCCAGCAGCCCAAGCCGCCCAAGGCCGGCGACGGCCCCGACAAGGUGCCGCAGUUCCUGGUGCGCGACGUGAGGGACGGCAAGUACAGAGCCCAGGGACCCCUCCACCAGGUGCGGGACGUGCGGAAGCUCAUCAAAAGCUCCUACAGUUGCGACUCGGGGGAUAACAGCAGCGACAAAGGUAGCGUCGCUUCCGACCAGGGCGGCCCGGAGCAAAAACCUCGGCAGCAGCUGGUCAUCGCCGGCGUCCCCAGGUCCCUCUCCCCCGUGGUCAUCACCUGCCAGGCGGUCGGCCACGCCACCACCAAGCCCACCGAGGCGGGGGCCAAGGCGGGGGGCAGGGCGCCGGCCUGCCCCCCGGAGGGCACCGUCCUGGUGCACCGCACCUCUGGGAGGCUGCCGGUGGCCACCAUCGCCCCGAACAAGAGCGACCCGCGCCAGCCGGCCGUGCUGAAGAUCGUCUCUAAAUCCGCCGCGCCCUGGCGGCACCAGCCCCCGCCGCCGCCCGCCGAGAGGGGCAGGGGACCGGAGGAGGACCCGCGAGAGGAGGGCAAGGCGGCGCCGGUGCAAAACGCGCUGGAGAAGCUGACGGCGGCGGUGCGGAGCAUGGAGGAGCUGUACAGCUUCAACAAACGCGAGUGGAAGCGCAAGAGCGAUCCGCUACCCAUCACCGACAGCCACGUCCUCUCCCUCAUCGCCAGCCAGGAGAGGGGCACCGGGCCCCGGCCGGCCGCCGCCGCCCCUCCACCGCCGCCGGCGGAUAAGGCAGAGGAGCCGUCGGGCAAGGGGCCGGGAAGCGAGCGGCUGCCUCGCCGCCCUUCCAACAACGCCGCCGACAAGGUCUCAGCCAAGGCGGCCGCCUUCGAGAACCUGGCCCGGCAGCGGCAGCGCGGCCCGCCGCCCCCCCGCGCUGAGCCCCCCGCCGCCCCCCGCGCCCUCCUCACCCUCCGCGGAGCCGGAGGAACCGGAGCCCCCGCGCCGGGCAAGCCCCCCUCCGAGGGCGGCCUGCGGGGCCAGGCGGCGCCGCGCUCCUCCCGGCUGCCUGCGGGCGGCGGCGAUGCGGAGCGCGGCCCGGACUGCGGGAACUACCUGGCCCUGCCGCUGAAGGCGGCCGCCGAGCCCGGCUCCCCACCCUCCCCGGUGCCGGUGUCGGGGGCGGGCGGCGGCGUCCGCCCCAGCCCGGUGUCGGCGUCGGCGGCGGCGCUGUGCAGCCUGCAGCCCUUCGGCACUGCCAAGCGCCCCGGCAGCCCCGGAGCCCCGCCCGCCGAGGAGCCCCCCGCCGCCGCCCCGCCGCCCGCCGAGGGUCCGCCCGCCACCCUCUACCGCCCGCCGCUGCCCUUCGCCGCCCUGCCCGGCGCCGCGCCGCCGCCGCUGCUCUGCUUCUCGCCCUCCAUGCCCGCCGCGACGACAGCGGCCGAGCCCUUCCCGCAGACGCAGCGCAAGGUGCUGCUGGACGUGAGCACCGGGCAGUACUACCUGGUGGACACGCCGGUGCAGCAGCCCCUCAAGCGGCGCCUCUUCGACCCCGAGACUGGGCAGUACGUGGAGGUGCCGGUGCCCCAGCAGCCGGCCGUCGCCCCCGUCCCGCUGCCCCUCUCUCCCCUGGCCCUCAACGCCGGGGCCUAUGGCGCCACGUACAUGCUCUACCCUGGUCUCCUGCCCACCGCUGCCGUGCUGCCUACCGGUGCCCUGCCACGCCCGCUAUCCCACCCGGGCAGCGAUGCCAGCGCCCCGGCUGAUCCUGGCAGCCCAGCGGCAGAGGCAGCCUUCGCUGAGAGCCCCUACUACGUGGCCACUGGCAAGGGCCCACCGCCACCACGGCGUGGGGCAGCUGAGGCGAAGCCGGUCAUCAGCAUCACGGCGCCGGCCACCGGCCCACGGAUCGUCGCGCCUCCCUCCUUCGAUGGCACCACCAUGCGCUUUGUGGUGGAGCACCGGUGAAGAGCGCGGAUCAAGAGGCAAAGAGAAACAGCAGCAACAGUCAGAGGUUUGAGUUUAUCACCCGUUUGCACUGAGUUUUGUUCAGUUGCAUGUUUGAGGGUAAAUUUUUUUCUUCUGGUGUUUGGGUUAUCUUAUUUUGCUUCCGUAGUUCUUUUAAUUUGCAAUGUAGUAGAUUAUUUGUUGAAUGAAACCUUACUGAAAUGCUUUAUAUGCUUACUUCUUACCUGCUUAUAAAUAUUUUAUUUCCAAAAUGCUAUUCUUUUAUCCUAGGUAUAAAUUAAGUUGUUUUCAUUGCCCCUUAUGGGGCAUUCAGGACAGGCAAAUUUUCAAUUUAGGUUGAGCUCUGCCGUGCUACUUGAGUCAGUCUUGUCAGUAAAGUCUUGAUAGAGUGUCUAGAAACAGUGGCAAAAGGUGUUUUUCCAUUUGGUCUAUAGGCCGGAUUCACAUCGCUUGUACAAGGAGUCAGUUGUUAGUGAGACUUCAGUUUAGACACUCACUGUUUUUGAAAAGGAUAUUUCUAUCUUAUAGCAACUAUUUAAACAAAAAGCUCUAGCUUCUCGAUCUUAUUUCACUCUUUAAAAGUGAAACCCACCAUAUUUCCUGGUGUGAUUUGCCCCUCAUUUCCUGGGUGGGGGGGUCUCCUGCCAUGUCACGCAGCUAGCUUGCCUGCAAUGCCUGGUGUAUCACUGCUGUGGGUGAUGUUCUCGGCAACUUGCUCUUUCUUACUGGUGGCGUUAAUAACUGCAUCGAUUCUCUGCUUUUUUGCGUUAUGUCAGAGCUCUGCCGUUGCUCACAGGCGUGAAAGCUGCCGCAAAAGAUCGGUGAUGCAGAAACUUUCGUACUCGUUACAGAAGGUCAUUCAGCAGUUUGAAGACUUCAUCUUUUACCAUUAAAUGAUGCCCAGACGCACGUUGCUCCAAUGUGGACAGGGAUACCCCCUCCGUGUUGAGGGUAGGGAUAAGGAAGAAGAAUCAUGCUCCUUUAAUCUGAAAUACACUUGGUAACUCUAAACAUGCAUCCUAAAAACUGUUUCUACAGUUUUCUCAUUUUUUUGCUUCAUCAUACAAAACAAGUGUGUAAGUUUCUUGUUUUCUCCUAAGUACCCCCCAGUUUUGGAGUAUGCAUACAUUUCAUUAUGCGAGCAAUACUAAAUUACUGCAUUAUUUUCUGCAAAGUUGUUUUUAUAUUGAAGCCAAUCUGCAGGCUUUAGGCAUUGCCUCUGUCCUGGUGGCCAGCGGUAGUAGUGCCACUACAGCUGUUUGUAAAACACAGGGUGUAAAUGCAGCAGUGUUCCAGUGUGGAUUGAUGCACAGGUUCAUCCAGGUCCCUGGAACGUGUUGUGAUGAUCCAGUGCAACUCUUUAAAAAAAAAUAAAGGCCCCAGCUGCAUCUCAUUGCAGCAAAUGAGGGUCCUCCCCAUAGGUUUCGGUGACAAUUUGCAAUCAGAUAUCUAUUUUGUACUCUGUACUUCUGCACUUGAAAUUGCAAACGGAGAGAUCUCUAGUGUUCAGGUUAUCUUUAGUGUUUAUUUUUUGGCAUGGUUCAAAACAGAUUGUGUAGAUGUCGGAAAACACAUUUGAUUGCUUUCGUUUUUCAUUUGCUCCUCUGUAAUGUGUUGAACAUUACAAGUUGCCUUAACUAUGACAGUGUUUAAAUACUGGAAAGCCAGAAAUUGAAUGUAAUAUUUUUACAUCCUGGCUCUAAAGGAGAGGACAGCAUUUAUUUUUCUUUAAGACUGCAGUCUAUUCUUCCUUAAAUUGCAACAUUGCUGAAAACACAAUCCUAGUGAUUCCCCUGGGAGAGGAGUUUUUUAAUGUUACAGCCCCAAUAAUAUGUAGUAAUUUCCUUAGCCAUUGUUCAAAACAUUUAUCGGAGGGCUACAUCCACGCUAUCUAUAUUUGCUAAGAAAAUAUUUCUCCUUUGAACAAGAAAAUAUAAAAUAAGAUUACUCAAAAUGCAGUGAUGUGUAUGUCCAUCUAUCAAACUUUGCUUAAACUGAUGAUUUUGUUGCCAGCAACCAGUUUGUCUCAGUAAAAGAGAAUUGUUAUCAUGACAGUAAAACUAAACUACGAUAGUGUGUUUCCUUGCCCAAAAUUUCAGUUCAGUGAAGCACUUUGGAAAGCAAAUACAUGUAAGAUCAAGCCUAAAUUAUUUAGCAUAAAGCUUUCUUGAGGUAACAGGUUGGAAAUCUAAAAUCUAAAUGCAAACUCAAAAGUCUGUAUUUAAGCAUUUGCCCACAGGCAGAAUUUUCCUGCGCCUGUUCUCAAGGUUUCCUGCUGCUAAGGAAGUUUCAGGGUUUCCCAUUCUUAAAGAAAGCCCCAGGUUUUAAUUUCCAUGAGUAACUCUCAAGAUACAGAAAACUCAGCUACAACUGUCUUUAACCAUACAUGUGAGAUUGUAUUUCAACGCAAUUUAUUUGUUUACAGGCACAAAUUGAAAUUGCCCUCAGGAUGAAAUGCACUGCAACUAUACAGAUAGUGAGUGAUUUAACAUAUAUCUUCUCAUUUAUCUUCGUCGUUGUGGAAAUCCAAUGACAAAAUACUAUCCUAACCCUUUUUAAAGAGCUUGGCAUGCCCAGCUAGAGCAUAUAGAGUGUAAGCUUAAUCCCCGUGCUCUUCGGUUGUAUGGUCUACAGUUACAAGCUUUAACUUCCUACUGGGAUUUGGGCUGAAUGCCUCUUAAAGAAAAUGAAUGCUUCUUCAACGUUUUCAUGACUGAUAAGUCCGUAGAUGUUACGACUAGAGUAUUGGUGUGAAACAAAACAGUACUUUGGACUGCAGGACAGUGCAGGUACCAGAGUAGAUCAUCCACUGUGACAUGCACGUGCACGGUACGUACAUUAUAAUACUAGCAUCCGUGUUUAAAAAUGUUUCUGUCCUAUCUUUUCCUAUAUCGGUGCUCGGAGUGAAGUUUCAUGUAGCAGUUUACAAGAUAUAGGUUUGCACACACAAACUCAGGGUUUACAGUUUCACCCGGUGUACUUGAAAGGAAAAAAAUUGCGUAGAACACAAGUGCCAAGGAUUUCAACAUGUAUUUGUUGGAGGAAAAUUUUGCAAGGUUUUUGGACCUGUAUGUGGAGACGAAAGCAAUGAAAUGAGGCAAUACCAACAGAUAUUUAUUUUCUCAGGGGAGAUUUCUUCAGUGGAAUGUGUCAAUCCUAAUGUCAAACAGUGUUUGCUGAAUUUUGUCUAUUACUAAAGAGACUCCAUGUUUGCAUCAAGGGGUCAGUUUUGCAAGGAGCUUCGCUUUGCAGACUCAGUCCAGCAAAGCCUUCACAUGCAUCUCUGACUUCAAAUAUUGAAGCAGAUUCCUGGAACUUCAGUGGAAGCACAAUCAAUUUUUUUCACUUGUCAAUGCAACACUUUGCUGAACUUGGUCCAGAGUGCUGAGUGCCUUGCAGACCCGAGGCCCGGGUUCUUCACUUUAUACGUAUAAAACCGGAGCUCUGGGCUUGAGUCUAGCCAGACCCAGCAGAUAAUGCCACAAAAGGUUGCCAGAAAAAAAAUCCGGUAAUAUGGUGCUCCUCCUCGUAUACCCAGUGGUGAAUUUCUCCAGCUGAUGGGGUGAUGUGUAACCACGUAUCUUGGAUUAGAGUCAAGCCCUCCUUGUCAGGGUUCACAAGCUGCUAGUAUUAUAUGUUUCACGGUGCAGUCAUAGUACAUUACAGCUGAAAUUCACCCCGUGUGCAAAACAGGGCAAAAUCCUGGCACCACUCGAGUUCCCUCCCAGCCCUGCUGUCAGGGUUUGGGGUCUGCUACAACCGGCCAGCUGCUGCCACACGUUUUGGGUCAGAAUCCAAUUAAAAGUUUGAGCAGGACUGGAGUGAUGCACGAAUGUUGUUCUGGUCUUUUGCAGCAGGGUUGGUUUCACUCAGUUAAAUUUAAUCCUUGGUGAAUCACUUGGUGAAUGAUUUAAAAUGUAUUUAUGGGUUGUGUGGUUGGUUUUUUUUUUCCCUUGUCUGCAUUCAAAGCUACGCUUACUCUCUAGUGUUGAUGGCCAAAGUGUCAUUCCUUAUGCUUAUAAAUUACCAUUAACUUGUGGCUACCUGAGAACACAUACUUUAAAAACGCUUGUGGUUUUUUCCCUUUUUCUGUUCUUUGUUUUCUUUUUUUUUUCUCUUUUCUUUUUUUUCUUCCUUUUUUAAGGGAGUGGGCUAUCAGUGUAAAGAUAUUUAAAAGUGCAAGUGUGAAGUAAGGAUAAUGAUUGUUAAGAGGAUGUGGGUGGUAUGUCUGAUGAGAGAGCGGUGGGCUAUAAGGCAAAGGGGAAAAUGCCGUGAACGCAUUGUGUUGAUUGUUGCCUGUGGGGGGAAAAAAAUAAAAACAGCAGAUACAUAACUGGAGAAAAAUGGACUCUUUGAGCUGCUCUCAACGUAGACAACAUCAUUGUGGCAAGUGCGAAGUCGAAGUGGUCCCGCUGCAGGAUGCCGUGAGCCUGGGAUUGAAGGACAGCAGAGUCGCUCUGAGAAUUGCACUAGCAGCGUGUUGCACAUCAGGAACGCUUCAGUAUGGAACGCUUCACGACCACACAAGAACGGACUGUCUGAAACCGCUGAGUACCAAAGUUUGUAACUGAAUGAGUUAGCAUUUGUAUUAUGUUGGGGUUGGUUUUUUUGAAUGUUAUGAUAAAUAAAAUGUAUUUUUCAGUAAA